GCUAUUGGUGCAAAAGUCUCAUCAAAAUCCAAACCUUCAACUUGUGAGUAUCCUUGACCCACUAGCCUGGCUUUGUUUCUCACAACAUUUCCAUGCUCAUCACUUUUAUUUCUGUAGAUCCAUUUAGUUCCUACCACAUUUCUUGUUGUUGGUCUAGGAACUGGAUCCCACACUUGAUUUCUUGUGAACUGAAGCAAUUCCUCUUCCAUUGCCUUGAUCCAGUUAUCAUCUGUAAGAGCUUCCUUCACAUUCUUAGGUUCAAUUAGUGAGACAAAACCAAAAUGAGAAAUAAUAUUGAUAUUUCCUUGAUUUUGAUUUAGAAAACAUACCAAUGUUGCAUCCUUAAUUACCUCUCCUUAAGUUGCUCGUCUUCUGGUUAUAAUUCCUUCUUGCAUGUUUCCAAUAACAUCUAUCAUAGAAUGAUCCUUUUUUACUUGUCUAAAACCAGUUCUUGUUUUAGGCACUUGUUGGAGAUUUGAAUCAAUAGACUCAUCAGCUUCACUUCCAGUUUCAGCCUUACCAUUUAACUCAGUUUGAUCAUGAUCGGUAGUUUGACUGUCAUCUAAUAUUAUCUGUCUAUCAAAAAAUUCAUCCACAUACACAUUAAUAGAGACUAGGAAAGAUUUUGUUUCUUGUACACCCUAUAAGCUCGGCUAUUUAAGGAAUAUCCCAGAAAAAUACCAAUUUCACUUCUUGUUUCAAAUUUUCCCAAAUAUUGUCUAUCCUUGAAAAUGUAACAUGGAUUUCCAAAAACAUGCAAAUGACUUACAUUGGGUUUCUUACCUUUCCACAGCUCAUAGGGAGUAUUGUUGGUGCCAGGUCUGAGCAUUACCCUAUUUAUGAUAUAGCAUGCUGUGUUGAUUGCCUCAGCCCAAAUUUUUUGACUCAGUCCAGAAGAGUGCAACAUCACUCUUGCCAUGUCCAGUAGAGCUCUAUUUUUUCUUUCAACAAUACCAUUCUAUUGUGGAGUAGUAGGAGCUGAAAAGUUUCACCUUUAUCUGCAAGAAAAUAUACCCACGUAAAUCUUGUAAAAUCAUCAACAACAACCAAAAUAUAGCUCUUUCCUAUAUGACUUUCAUAUUGAGAUGGACCCAUUAGAUCCAUGUGCAGUAGCUCCAUUGCUUGAGAUGUAGGAAUUGAGUUGAUACUUUUAUAUGCAGAUCUUAACUGUUUCCCCAUUUUACAUCCUCCACAGAUUUUAUCUGUUCUAUCUCUGAGUUUUGGCAUGCCUCUUACAAUUCCUUGAUUUGACAAUUUUAACAAGUCCUGAAAGUUUACAUGACCAAGUCUUCUAUGCCAAAGAUCAAAAAUUUCCUCUGUGGAACUUGUUCCCAUACACAUCUGCACAUCAGGUGAAUCAUUAGCUAAUACAUGAUAUGACACGACCCACCCCGAAUUUCACCCUGAAACCCGGAGUAAGUCGUGCGGGGACCAUCUCCAAGGAAAAUUUACUGAAAAGAUUGAUAAAAUCUCCCUUGAAAAUGGACAACCCUAACUCGAAAAUUUCAAAAUACACUCUUAAUACAACACGUCCAAACAUCAUAUAAUUAACCUUCAGAAAUUCUAAACAUAAAAUACAGUAAUCCCAAAGUAUUCAGAGCUACUAGACACUAGCGGAAGCGAGAAAACACGAGUAGGUUAAACAUGUAACCUACUGAUGAAAACUGGCGGAAAUACGGGUGACUAUGCCUCGCCUCCUACUAGAUCCAACCCGAACUCUGCAGACUGGGCAAUUUAAAACGAAGAGCCCAGGGGAAAACAUGUGGAACAGUUAGAGUGAGUGGACAAAAAUAAAUUAAAAUAAAAGUAUUUCUUUAUGCUUCCCCAAUUUAAUUUCCAAAUAAAAUAAUACUGCAUGCAAUCGCUCAAAAGCGCUCAACUCAAAAACUGGCAACUUCACAACCAGCACCGGCUAGUCUCCAAAACUUAAUAAAAUACAGCAUCUCAAGCUAAAUUAUAUAUAAACAUAUAUAAGUGUAUGUAUUUACACUAGUCAGACUCCUUGUAUGAAUUCUAAAAACAAAUUAGAAAAAUAGAAAUUCAUAGAAGGUUACUAAGCUUGCGUCUAACGCUCACGUCACACCAUAAUGGAAUUGUAUCUCAGUAUGGCGAAAAAAGCACGAGUGUAUAUAUGUGUGGACUCCCUAUAUGAAAACCUAAAUAAACCAAAUAAGAAAAUAGUUUUCAUAUAGGGCUACUACGCUUGUGUCUAACACUCACGUCACACCAUAAUGGUAUUUUACCUCAUUAUGGCGGAUCAAACACGUAUGGCUAGCUAGCAUUUAUAUAUACAUACUAUCAUCAUAAACAUCCAAUAAACAUAUCCACCGAAAAUCUCAUUUUCGGGAUCUCUCCAAAGGAGGAAAAUUGCCAAAUAUCCGAGAAAUAAAUAAAUCUCAGGAAAAGAAAUAAAUGAUCAACAGAUAAUUCAUCGCAUGCUUUUCAAUUAAAAUAAAGGUCCACUCACAACUUAGGCCUAAGCCUGAUGACGCUCCGAGGCUUCCUCUGCUCGGGCCUCCUCUCGUCCUGUUCCAAAUAUAUAAUUAAUUUCCCACCAAAAAUCCAAUAAUUAAACAAAAUGGGCAAAAUUAAACGUGAGCCUCCCACACACUCAUCAUUGCCCAAAUUCGCCAUUCUUAACUCAAUACGGCUCAAACUUCGCCGAACAUACCGGCAGCCGUAAAAACAACUUCCCACAGAAUACGACUUAAAUCCUACGGCCGGAUUCUACAUUAAUUAACCGUCAAAAAAUACCAAAGUAAAUAACCGUAAAAUAACUUAAGAACCGGGGUGUGACAUGAUAACAAUUAUCAACUGAUCUAACUCCACCCAUUAUGUAGUCUCUCUUGUUGUUCAGAACUUGACACUUCUUUUUGUUGAACCAAACAUCUUCAAAAUCAUUUGUCAGUUGACUAAAACUCAGUAAAUUUGUAUUCAAACCUUCAACAUACAAUACAUUUUCAAGGUUUGGAAUGUUUGGUGUGUUGACAAUCCAUUUUCCUUUGAUUCCUGCUUGUCCUCCAUCACCAAAUGUAAUAGUACCUGAAAUAUUUCUGUUAGUGAAAGAAAUAAACCAUUCUUUGUUACCACACAUGUGUCUUGAACACUCACUGUCUAUGUACCACACAUCACUCUUUUUGCUGGAUAAAGCAGUCAAUGCAACUAAGCAGGUUGCCAUAAUAUGAGUUUCAUUUGAGUAGACAGAUGCACUCAGGCAAAAAGCUUGUAUUUCUUCCUUCUCUUCAUUCCUUGUCCAGCAUUUCACUCCUCUUCUUUCCUGCAUUCUUUCUUCAUAAAUCAUGUUAGACAUUUGACGAAUAAGGUUCAUACGUUCAUUCAUUUCUUUAUGUAGAAUUUCAAAUUUAUCACCCUUAGCAGUAUAUUGAGAAGAUCCAUUUAUGCAAUUUGGUCUGAUAUGACCAAUCUGUCCAUAGUGAUAACAAGUAAGAACAAAAGGUUUCCUCGAAACAUACCUUUUCUCAGUCGAUUUAGGAAUGACUAUUUUUACUUGUUGUUUUUCUUCAGUUUCCAACACUAGUUGUUCUUCCCCUUUUUCUUUAACAAACCUUGUGACAUUGGAGCUUUCACCAGUGUAUCCAAGUCCAAAUGUAUCCUUAUGUGCUUUUCCUAUACUGAGAAUAUUUGAGACUAUCUUUGAACUUGUUUGAAAUUGACUAAAUUUUUCCCUUGACUUUCUCAACUCAGCCUGCAACAAAACAAUUUCAGAGUUUAGCUCAUUAAUUUUCAAAUCUCUUAACUCUAUUUUAGAUUCUAAAUUUACACAACUACUGCUAAUGAACCAGUGUUUUUGAUAUUUUCAUUCUUCAACUCAGUUUGCAACUUUUGAAUACUGUUGUUGAACUCAUUUCUUUCAUUUUCCCAAAACUCCUAUUCAGACUGCAAUAUGUUUUCAGUUUUCUCUUGCUGUUCUGGUUCCUGGAGAACCUUCACCUGUUUCUUCAAGACAUUAUUCUUGUUGUUCAAGAUUUUUGAGGCAUUGUACAAUUGAUCAUAUUUGUCGUCUAGUUUCCUCCUGUCAAAAAAAUCAUCACUAGAAUCAUCAUCACUAGAACACACACUGUCAGUAUCAGAAAAAGACUCACAUGAGUCAAAUCUUAUAGAAGAAACGAAAGCAAAGUUCCUUUCUCCUUUUCUGAGGGAAUGUUCUUCAUCACUAUCACUCUAGGAAGUAGCUUUGAGUGCCCUUUUUUCACCAGUGCCCCUAUCCUUGAAUUUUUCACCUGCUUCAUUCUUUCUAUUCCCACAAUCAGUUGAAAUAUGACCAUAACCAUCACAUUCAAAGCAUUUCGGUCUAUAAUUCUUCAUUUCAAGCUUGUUAUGACUUCUAGAGUUUUUCUCAAAUCGAUUUUCAGAAUUUUUAUUUCUUCUUGAAUCAUGAAAGUUUUUAGAAGAACUAGAAUUUUGAUUGUUCCUAGAUUUCAAAAGUUUUUUGAAUUCCUUUGUGAGCAAAGCAUAAUCAAUAUUUUCAUCUUCCUGAUCAAUUUUAGAAGAGUUUUUCAAAGCCACACUCUUCUGUUUCUUAUCAGACCAAGAGCUAUCAGCAAUCAUUUUUAAUUCAAAGGUUUUAAGAUUACUUACUAAAUAUUCCAGAGAAUAUUUAUUUAAAUUGUGUACCUCCAUGAUAGCUGCCUUCUUGGGAAGGUACUUCCUUGGCAAAGCUCUAAGAAAUUUUUUCACCACCUUGUGCUCCUCAAACGGUUCAUUCAAGCUCUGACAUUGACCUAUAAUGUUAGUUACCCUUAAAUAAAAAUCAUUAAGCAACUCAUCCUCACCCAUUUUUAAAUUUUCAAAUUCUUUAGCAAGAAUCUGAAGUUUCUGGAUUUUGACAAUCUCACAUCCUUCAUGUGAAGUAACAAGCAUGUCCCAAGCUUCCUUUGCAGUGUCACAGUAUUGAAUACGCCUUCUUUCCUUAACACCAAGUGCAGUGAAUAAUGCAUUUUUAGCAACAUAAUCAGCAUUACAUAAGGCUUGCUCAUCUGCUGACCACAAGUCGACUGGUUUUAAUUGAACUCUAGAUGUAUUCUCUGAUUUCACAACUGGAGCUUUGUAACCUGAUUGAAUAAUUUUCCAUGCCUUUGCAUCCAAGGUGUAUAUGAAUGUUCUCAUCAUGAUCUUCCACUGUGGAAAAUCAUCACCAUCAAAUUUUAGAGGUUGAUUUACUGCAUUUCUUUCCAUUUCAAAAGUGGAUCUACUAGACACUUACUAGCACUUGCUCUGGUACCAAAUAUUAGUAUAGAAAUGGAUCAAACACAGAUAGAACAAGUAAUUUCAAUGGUUUGGUGCAAAACCUCAACGAGGGAAAAAACACCAAGCAAGAUUAUUCCUUUAAUCUUCAAAAAGACUACAAGUCGUAAUUCUCACACAAUUACACAACUCAUACAAUGUUCUCUCUUCUUCUCACACAAGUAACUUAAUUCAAGUAGCUCUAUCAAGAGAAACUGAAUUAAAAUUCUGAGAUCUCACUCACUCAGCUAUACUAGUUCUCACACAACUAAUACAUACUGCAACUAAUUCUCAUACAAUUAGUUUUUAUGCAGUAGCAACUAAGACUCAAACACUCUUAGUUCUUCUCUCAAAAUUUAUCACACAUCAAGAUGAUAGUUUGAUGAACAGCUUGGUUCUUUAACACAACCAGUUUCUCAGCUUCAUUUAGACUUGGCUUCUCAGUAAGCUUUUGUUCUCAAAACUCAGAUGCAACUUGUAUGCAAGUAAGAAAAGAGAAACUCAGUCUAUCUUAGAUAUACACAAGUAGUUUGUAAGAUGACCAUGAACACACAAUCAACUCAAAGACAAUGCUUAACACAGUUUUUUCUCAAUCAUACCAAAAAGCUUAUCUUUCUAAACACAGUAGAAGCAAUUUAUAGAGUGUGAAACACUCCCACUUAACUGAUGCCUUUCAAUAACAAGAUCAAAUUUCGUUUAUGAAAAUAUGCAAUCAGUCCACCAACACUUUGCACUUUCCAAAACGCAUAUACUAGUUUCAUGCUAUAACAUAGCCAUUAGAUAAAACAUAAAUCAUUUUCUUAAUCACCUGAGAACAAUGAUUAUGCAUAUAGAAUCAGACAUGUUUAUGCAAGUACUGAUAUGGACAUUACUGAUAUGGAAAUAAGAUAUCCUGCAUAUUAUCAAUUAAUGUUCCUGAAAUGGAAGUCUUUAGAAAUAAGACUUUUCCAAAAUUUCAUCAUUCAAAAACUUAUCAACUUGAAAGCCAGAUCUACUUACCAUAUAUGAGAUGUUAAAAUCUCAUUACCUUGAUCUUUUGACAUGAUACCUUUGAUUAUGUCUUUGAUCUAGACUUUAUGAUUUUUCCUGGUAUGAAAUCUUCUUUCCUCUUUUCCUUCCUUCAUUAGGAGUCCUUGUGUUGAAUAGGAAUAGCCAAUAUACCAACAUUCUCCCCCUUUGGCAUCGCUAUUCAACACAAGAUCAAGACCUGUAAAACAGACACAAAACCAACAUAUAUAUACAGAACGGAAAGCAGGCUUGAAGAUUUUCGAAUCAGUUUCCAUCAUUUUCUCCAUCUUCAAGAUAAAAAUCAAAAGAAGACACAAAAUAAUAAAUGACUGCAUGCAUAGUUCAAAGAAAACACAAAAUAUGUCAAGUGCUUAGGCACUUUUACAAACCAGAAAUAAGAUUUGAUGUUCUAGUCAUCAAAAAUCAAAAAGCAGAAAACUUAAAAUAGACUCUACCAGGCUCUAAGCUGCUUCCGCCAUUGUCUAACACUUAUAAUAGAUUUAUAUUGUGAAAUAGUUUCUCUCUAACUCAAAAAGAAGUUGAGCUAAAAUAAGAUUGCACCUAAAACCUGUUCUAUUUUCAUUCAGCUGAUCAAGUGGAUCCGGUAGCCCACUUGUCUUUGGAAGAGGAGAGGAGCACGCGCAAUGAAGGCUAAAGAAAGAAACACACCAAUUCAAAAAGGACAAAAUAUUCUUCAAAAUAAGUUUGCAUUCUUCCAAAGGCGAGUGAUUUUUUUUUUCCUAACCUGACGAUGAUAGAUACGACGAGGAGAGUGUUGAAAUUUCCAGAUAUGAGAUUGCCGCAACAACAUCAGUGAUAUCGUCAUCUUCGGGGAAAGAAUCGAUCUGCAAUAAAAAUUGGGGGAGAUGGCUGAGUAGGUGAUGGUCGAGGGCUGAGUGAGAGAGAAGGGAGGGCUCGCGCAGGUGUUAAGGAGAGAGAGUUGAAGGGCUAAGGAGUUUGUUGGGAGAAAGAGGCUGGGGAUUUUUGGGAGAGACCGAUGAGAAAGCUGAGAGGCACGGUGGAAUGAACUAGAUUGUUAAAUGUGGGUUGAAUGGUUGAGAGAGAAAUAUGUUUUGGUUGCGCUGUUGAGGUUUUGGUUGGGUUGUAGUUUUUUUUUGUUUUGUUUAAGUGUUAGGGGAGAAUUUAAUUUUGGGCUGAAAUAUAGGGGAAGGUUUGAGCACAUCAAUAUUUCAGACAAGCGCCAAUUAAUUGGCAUUCAUUUCGACAAGUAAUCACAUGACGUAACAACUAUAAACGUGGUUUGAUGGCCAAAAUUUUAGGUUUCAAUAUUCCCUCCAUCACAUUUCGUGUUCCUUCUUACAAGUUUGGGGCUGAAUUUGGGGGAAUGUUGGAGGGAAAUAUUGGCGGACAUGGUUUUGCUGAAAAUACACACAAUUACACCAUAGUUUUUAUACGAAACGUCGUAUCACUCUUACAUGUUGGACACCUUACAACUUAGGAAGGUUGAUGCUCAAAUUUUUACACAUUCACACCACGAUUUCUAAAGAAACUGACAUCUAAAAAGUUAAAAAUUAGUCACACAACGGGUUCUCACUAUACAUCGUCUGAUAGACAUUGUCUGAUGCUGGUUUUUGUGGUAGUACUUGACAAAAUCGAUGAAGCUUGAUGGGGGGUGAGUACUCCUACUAAUACCCAAGAAAAAUUAUAAAAUGAACUAAGGACAUGGAAGGAGAGGAAGAAUGGAAUGAUGGUGAGGAGAAGGGAAGGGUGUGUGCGGCCGACUCCCAGAGAGAAAGAAUGAGAUAAUAGGUCAUGGCGUGGUUUAGCACCUUCAGCUUUGCAUUUGAGGGAAACAAGGUGCCAUGUGGCAGCUUGUCAUUGGUUGAGCUUGAGAGAAAUUGCACCUUGUGCACGUGAUGGAGAAGAUGGUCAAUUAAAUGAUCAAUUAAACAUCUGGGGCAUGUUUACUUACAUGGAAUGAAAUUGAAAAGUGAGGGAAUAAUUCUGGCAGAGGAGAAUUCCAGCGUUUACUUACACAUAAUAGAAUUGGAAUGGGUGUGGGUCCCACCUCCUAAUAAAGAAUUGAUUCCUUGACAACCCUGAAUUGAAAUACCAAGGGGGGAGGUGGGAUUAAGAAUGAUACCAUCAGGAAUGAACUUUUAUUCCGAAAAUAUCCUCUUUAAUUUUAUAUGCUAAUAAUAUUGAGGAAUUUGUUUAAGAUGCUAAUAAUUUCAAUUUUUUUUUUCUUUGGCUUCUCUUUAUUAUGCUAAUAAUAUAUUAUUUGUGGAAGUUUUGUUUUUAAUUUUUUUUUUUUUUUUUUUUUUGUAUUUACUAAUAUGUAUAAACAUAUGAUGUCCUAAUUUUGUUGUUCAACCCUUGCAACUUGCGGUUUGAGAUACACCCAAAAUGUUAGUACUAGGUCAAAAUGAUUUUGAUAAAUCAUGGUAGAAGAGAGUUUAUGCAAGGACGAGAUUGCAAUAUACACAAGCGCGCACGUAGUUCUGUAUUAUAUUAUUAAUAUAUAGCCACAUAAUUACAAUUAAUACACUGAAUAAGAAUAGUUCGUUUGGUUUGUUGAUUAUACAUAACUUAUCAAUUGAGACAACGACAAACAAAACUAUAUCAACAUAUAAGGAAAAAUUGUGUUGAGAGUGAUCGAAAUGUGUAACUUAUAUAUUUUUUUCAUGGGUAUUUAGUAAUUAAAAUAAUAAUAAAUUACAUUCAUGUUCUAAUUCCAUGGGGUAAGUAAACAGCUUAAUGAAAUUGAAAUCUCCAUAUACUAUUCCAUUCCAUCUCCCAUUCCUUCUGUCUUUCAUUCUUGAUGAAUUUCAUUCCAAGCAAGUAAAUGUGCCACUAAGGCAAAGAUUCAUUAAUCAAAAUGAUUAAUUAAUCACCAUAAUGCUUUCUUCAAUUUUCUUGAUGCUCGUCCGUAAUAUUAUCGCCUCUUGAUGUGAUAACGAUUGACCGACUGCGACUAUUUCAUUUUUUUUGUCAACAAUUCAUAUUUGCUCCAAUCUCGCAUAUUUUGUUCGUAUUUCUGCAACUCUGUUUAUUAUCUACAAAGUAAAUAAAAGUAGAUUAAUUAUAUCUCUACUAUUAGAAAGCCUGACACCCUAUUUGGUGUCAUGGUGAGCCUUUUUUUGAAUUACCUAAAAAACCAAAAUAAUAGAAAAUUCUCAAAGAAAAUAAGCAUAAGUUUCUAUGGGCAUAACUGUAAAACACCAUUAGAAUUUUAUGGAGAAAAAAAAGAUGUGGUUUGUUCCCACUUUUGAUAGAGCAGUUAUCUAAGAAAUAAGAUAAUCAGAUUCAUUCCACUUUAAGUAGAGCAGUUCAAGUUAAAUUUAUCUCAUUUGUAUACCCACGUGCAGAUGCAUAGGUAAAAAGCUAGUAUUAAAUAACCUAAAGACUAGCAUUAUUCACGUGUAUAAAAAUACAUGAAAUUAAUACCUUGUGAGAAAUAUAGGAAUGUGAGGACGUUCCUAGCACCUUUGAUUGAAGUAAAAAUCAAGAGCAGUGUAAAAAUCAGGGGGAAUGUAGACUUUAGGGGGAGUCUAACACACAUACACUAUCAUACGUGCGUUGUGCUUUUUUUCCCUUCGACCGAAAUUUAUUUUAUCCCACUGGGUUUUGUUACUUGGCAAGGUUUUUAAUGAGGCAACACCAUAUGCACCAUUUCGUCUUUGACUUGGCACAAGGGGGAGUGUUGAAGGAAAAAACACAUUUAUAUGUAUCUUCGUCAAAGUCGUAAUUGACGAGAGUAAAUUAUGUAAUUAGUGAUCAAUUAGUGGAAUUGCUUCAUUAGUUAUCAAUCAGAUUUUAUUGUCAUUAUGUACGUUAUAGUUAUAUUUGUAAUAUCACCUCUAUAUAAAGAGGAGCUUCAAUGAAAUGAGUAGACCAAUUCUAUUUUUCCUAUUACACUAUUUUUUUUUAGACUAAUUUUAGUUUACCCCUAGCAACUUUAGAUCAAUCAUCAUGUUAGUCACUUUUCUUUCAAUUUCAUUAAAAACACCCUUGACUUCCGAUUUUCAUCAGCCGUGUCCAAAAAUCCGUUUUCUAUCUAAUUCCCUUGUCAUGUGAUGACUUGCAUUAAAAAGAAAACCAAAUUUGAAGUCGCUGGGCCCAUAGAAAAAAAAAUAGACAAAGUGCAUUCAAUCCCACCAAAAUCACUAAAGUUAGAGGUUAUGAUGGGAACGGAGAUGUCUAUCGAUAUGGGCAAAAAUGGUCAGAAAUGUUAUUUUUUUCAGAAUUUGACUUUCUUCUUGAUGUCACGUCCUCAUUUGACGGAGGAAUAAGAUGGAGAAUGGAGUUUUGGAUACGACUGAUGAAAAUUGGGAGUCGAGGGGCGUUUUUGAUGAAAUUAAAAGAAGAACGACUAACGUGAUGAUCGACCCUAAAGUUGAUGGGUGUAAAUUAAAAUUAGUUUUUUUUUUUAAUUCCACGAUUUUCUUGUUUAUCCAAACACACUCAUAAAAAAACUUUGGUGGGUAACUGAUACCUAGAUAUUACUCAUGUUGAAACAGUUAUGGCAAUUAUGAGUGUUGAUUACAUGUUAAUCAAAUUGAAACUAAAGCGUGCAAUAGAAGAAGAAGAAAGUAAAAAAUAAAUGAAAGUUGUUAUUGGCGCCACUAUAUCUGUCAUUGCUUUAACUUUAGAAUGCUAUCCUAUAUUUUUUGUCAACAAACCUUCACGUGUCUGGGAUCAAGAUGGAAAAGAGGUACAUUGUAUUAAGCGACUACGGGUCAGCUAGAGCGCAUUUAGAAGGUUAUGUGAGAUUCUACAAGGAAUUGAUGAGUAAGUAUGUACAAGAAAUGUAUCUAUUGAAGAAUCAAUAGUUAUAUUCUUGAAUAUACUUGCUACUAAUGUGUAGUACAUAAAAGUUGGUUUCUGUAUUAUCGUUCUAAAGAAAUAGUUAGUCAACAAUUCCAUAACAUGUUGUAUGCAAUGAUGAGAAUAAGUAAUAUUUGAAAUUACACUAAGCUGAUAUUAAUAGUUUAGAAAUAGAGAAGUGGAAGUAGAGAAGUGGAAGUAGUUUGAGGUAAUUCCUCUGUUUAUAGCGUGCCUUGAGGCGUGCUAAGGCUUAAGGGGCUUCUCUAUUUCAUCUCAAGGCUCCCCUUAAAAGGCUUUUAUCACAAAAGGCAAGGUAAAGGCACGCCUCAGCGCCUUGAGGAGGAAAAGACACCUUAAGGCGUCGCUAUUUGUAUGUGAUUUUUUUCUCUACCCUUAAAACUACGCCGUUUUGGUGAAAAUCCAAAGAGAAAAAAUAACGUUGUUUGACUUUUUUAAUUCAUUCAUUAGCAACUUCUCUCUUCUUCUAUUUUAGAUCAUGAGUAAAUGAUUUUAUGAUGUGUGUUUGUCAUUUAGAAUCUUAGACAUUAUGUUUGUGAUUUAGCUACUUAAAUUUCAAUUUUAAAUGUAUUAGUUAUUUUUAAUAAUUUUAUUUUUCAAUUAUUUUUUUUAAACAAUAGAGAUUUAUAAUGCAUGAAAGGCUUCGCCUUCAUUCAUGAGCCACUUUUCUCAUCUUCUCUUUCACAUCAUGAGUAAAUCAUUUGAUGUUGUUGUGUGUUUGUCAUUUAGAAUCUUAGACAUUAUAUUUCUGAUAUAGCUACUUAAAUUUCAAUUUCAAUGUAUUAAUUAUUUUUAGUAUUUUAUUUUUUAAUUUUUUAAUUUUUAUUUAAAAAAUAGAGAUUCAGAAUGCAUAAAAUGCUUCGCCUUUUCGCCUCAAAGCUUUCAAGGCUGGGGGCUUCAACAUGACGCCUCUCCUCAAGGUUGAGAAUUACCGAAUUUCGGUAAUUCUAUACCUUUUGAAAAUAUGUCAUUAUGUAUCUUAAUUUUCAUGUUACUUUUUUUUUCUUCUUUCUUUUAUCUUGCAUUUUGAAUUGUCAAAUGACUGUGUCGGUUGAGGAAAGAUCGAGAUGCCAGAAUAGAAACGGUGAUAUUGUACUAACAUUUUAGGAGUUUGUGCCCCAGAUUUAAAAUUUAUAUAUGUAUUGCCUAGAUGGGUGGGUUCUGCUUCUAAUGCUCGUGUCUUACAAUAUGUUUUACGUAGGAAUAACCGGCUCGGCUUUAUGUUUAAAGAGGUAAUUCGAUAUACUGGUUUUUAUUAAAUAAAAUCUCCUGUUAAGUAAGCUUCUAAUAUCUUACAUUUCUUUUGCAGAUAAAUACUUUUUGGUGGAUGCGGGAUAUACUAAUGGACAUUGUUUUUUAGCACCAUAUCGAGCAACUAGAUAUCACUUAAACGAAUGGACAGGAAAUUGACCUGAUAAUUAAUUACAAAUAGUUGUAUAAUCUUUGACAUUCAAUUGCAAAGAAUAAUUAAUGUCAUUGAAUGAUCAUUUGGGUUGUUAAAAGAGCGUUGGAGUAUAAUGUGUACGUCAUCAUUUUUCACCAUCAAAACAGAAGUUAGGAUUAUAAAUGCUUGUUGUGUUUUGCAUAAUAAUAUCUGAAUUAGCACGCUAGUGAUCCUUUGUUGGAAGAUCAAGAUUUAAGGUUUUUAGCACCUUUUGAUUUUGAGAUAUUAAAUCGUGCAUCAUAAGAGGUUCAUGCAAAUAAUUUAAGUGAUAGGAUUACAUGUGUUGAACCUAUUGACCAGUGAAGAUGUUCAAUAUUAUCACAUUUUCGUGACAAAUUUUCUAGAUUAUCAACCAUGACAAGCUGCAAAUCCAUGACUAUGAAACAAAAAAGCUUUUUUUUUUUUUUNUUUUUUUGAAAUGUGGUUACAUAAGGAUCUUUGCUGAAGUUAUAUUUUGAAUUAACCUUUGUUUAGUCCCUAAGGUUUACACAACUCAUCUACUUAGUCCUCAAAGUUUGAAAAUCAUCUAUAUAGUCCUCAAGGUUUUGAUUUCUCAUCUAGAAGGUCCUUUAGUUAAAAAAAACUGUUAAACUACUGUUUUUCCGUUACAAAAAGAUUAUUUAUUUUAUUAUUUAAAAAAAAAAAACUCUUAAAGGACUAGACCAAGCUUUUCCUAAGAACUAGCCUUCAACAUGCCAAUAAUUCACCUAAUGACCUCCUGUCUAAUGGUUACUAAUCAUGGCGGAAUCACUGCUGUCUUAGUAUGGGCAAGCCUAAUCACUUACAAAGUAAAGGUAAUCUCACAAAAAAGAAAUAAAAGGCAAAGAAAAAUAUUUUUGAGACGAAUAAUAGGGCAUAAGGUAGAAUUUAUUUAAUUUAACAUGAAUACAAAUACCAAACCCAGAGCCUUGCUCUCAGGUAAACAGCUAAAGGUUGUUUAGCUACUCAUAAGUUAUAUAUAAACACAAGUACUUACUUGUAAAUUUACAGCACACCUCACCAGAUGAUUACAGACUUCGAUCUAAAAACACUCUUAUUAUUCUCACACUAUUCUAAAGAUUGUAUAAUGACUCUCUUUAACUUCUUGAGAAAGGUUGAGAAAAUUUCAGAUUUCUGUUUCAGGUUCCUUCUUCGAUGCCUUCCUACUGAAGUUUGAGGCCCCUUAUAUAGAGAGCGGAUCCCGAACUAAAAAUAAAACACACUUAUUCAUAAUGGUGGACAAGAGGAAUCUUAUCUUGAUAAUUUUACCUUUUGAAAAAGUAAGUCGAAAGCUUUUAAGUUCUGGCAGCUACUUUUUAUCAAAAGAAAAGCUGUUUGUCGUGGUGUGUUGGCAACCGUUCAACUUUCCAACAUAUUCACAAUAUUGUGAUAUGUUUCAGGAUCUUCAGAAUAACCCACUGAGGAGUUGGGACCACUGUAUUCCCAAUCUCGUGCCGUGUCUUCAUCUCCAUUGUCGAGGUCUGAAUCAUAAGGAUAAGAAAUCUUAUACUUUUCUUCAGUCUCAACUUUUUCUAACCACGUAGUGGUAGCCAGAGUGCAGUCCACCUCUUUCCUCAUAAGGGCUGUGAAAAAGUCACAGUUCUCUGGUGGAGGGUGAUUGUAACAUGUGACCAUUAUUUUUUCUCCACUGGCUAAAAGACUUGAAUCAUAGUCUCUUAAAACCACGUCUUUAAUAAUUGCUAUGGUCAUGGCUUUCAUCCAAGGAAUGCUUUGAUUUGGUCUUCCAUUUCCACUGCCAAUAGCUGUCUUUUGAACCGGACUUUGGAUUAAUCUGACAUGAUGAUAUGGAGAAAUAUAAUUCAUCUGAUUAUUUACCACUGUCCAUUCUGGUGGAGUUGAAAUGAAUUUUAACCUUAGGAUACAACCAUCAGGUCUGAUAUUCUUGACUGCUUCAGCUAUUAUUUCUGGAAAGCCCUCCAGAUCUUCAUUAGUUUUUGUCCACAGAUUAUGAACAAAACUGUUUUCUACAAGCCAUAGCUUGUGCUUCUAAGGAUGUUCUGCUUGAACGUCAACUAGAUAUCUCCAAUAAUAUGGGCCAGGAACUACAGAUAAUGUUCUUGGUAGAACAUCUUUUCCUUCUCCUAAGAGAUUAUGAAAUUUAUACCAUUCAGAUUCUUUUAGUGCUAGCAUUGGUAUUUUAGCACUUUCAGGAUUUUCAAGGUAAAUAGCCUUAGAACUUCCUGCUUGAUUUUCUGCUGGAACAUCUUUGUCUUUUAUAUGGAAUCCAUACAACUCUUCAGUUAAAGCCUUGAGAGUUUGAAGCAAAUGAGCUUCAUUGUCUUCAUAAAAGGAAUACAGAAUAUUAUCAAUAAUAAUCUUCUACUUGAAAGGUAACAAUCUUUCUGUUCUGAAACUGGCUUCUAAAAGAUCUUCAUAGAUUGAUCAUGGAUAACCUUCUUUCCUGUGACUAUCGGUAUCUUACUUGCCCUAAGAGGGUCUCUUCUACUUUUUGGCAAAACAGCAGCCAUCAACGGACUUGAUAUGCCUUUAUCGUCUGCCGUUUGAGACGGGCUAGCCGGUCUUUUACCCUGAGACCGAUCAGUUGAGGCUGUUCCUUUCGGACACAGCAAAAACUCUUGUGCAAGCUUUUCUUCAUCAGAAGUAACAGACUGAUCUGUUUCUUUUUUAGAAUGGUCUGAAAACUCAUUCCAUCCUUGAUCUAGUUUUGGCUUGAUUCUUUCUGAAGGCUGGCCUGAUUCAACAGCUCCAUAAGAAACAAUGUAUUGAUAACCUGGUCCGUCAUGGAGAGGUCCUACGGUUUUAUCACCGCUAUUGUAUCUUUCCCAAAGCUUCUUUUCUUCUGAUAUAGAUUUCUGACUUCUAGUGUAAUACCCUAGAUUUUCAUAUCUAUUUUCCUUGUUUUAUUCCCUUAUUUUAAUGAAGGAUUAUUCAUGAAAAUUCUUGGGUUUAUGCGAAGUUGAAGUUCGGGAGUUUAUUUAAAGUUGCCUUGACUUUUAAUAGGCCAAAAGUUGACUUUAUUUUCCGUAAGUUAUCUUCGAAAACUUCCUUCAUGAAAGUUGUAGAGCUUGUCGAUACGAGUUCGUAGACAUGCGACACGUCUAAAACGGAUGUCGUAUGAAGAAGUUAUGUUCAGAGGAAGUUUGUUUUCGGGUUUGAAAAGAGUAUAAGUAGAAAAAUUGUGUGUGGGAUUAAUUAGAACCCUAAAAAUCAGUUUCCCUCCUCUCUCUCUCCUCCCACCCGAGCUCCCCGAGCCUUCACUUUCUUCAGCCGAGUUCUUCCUCCUCCGGCCACCAAACCGGACGCCACCGGUCCCAUUCGACUCCCACAGCAGCCCUCUCUAUUUCUGGAGCAGUUCCGCCGGCUGUCCCGCCGCCUGGAAGCCGCCACAAAGCGGCGGAGCUACCGCUGUCCCGCCGGAAAACCGGCGAUUUCGACGCCGUUUUCGGCCAAGUUAGGUGAGNNNNNNNNNNNNNNNNNNNNNNNNNNNNNNNNNNNNNNNNNNNNNNNNNNNNNNNNNNNNNNNNNNNNNNNNNNNNNNNNNNNNNNNNNNNNNNNNNNNNNNNNNNNNNNNNNNNNNNNNNNNNNNNNNNNNNNNNNNNNNNNNNNNNNNNNNNNNNNNNNNNNNNNNNNNNNNNNNNNNNNNNNNNNNNNNNNNNNNNNNNNNNNNNNNNNNNNNNNNNNNNNNNNNNNNNNNNNNNNNNNNNNNNNNNNNNNNNNNNNNNNNNNNNNNNNNNNNNNNNNNNNNNNNNNNNNNNNNNNNNNNNNNNNNNNNNNNNNNNNNNNNNNNNNNNNNNNNNNNNNNNNNNNNNNNNNNNNNNNNNNNNNNNNNNNNNNNNNNNNNNNNNNNNNNNNNNNNNNNNNNNNNNNNNNNNNNNNNNNNNNNNNNNNNNNNNNNNNNNNNNNNNNNNNNNNNNNNNNNNNNNNNNNNNNNNNNNNNNNNNNNNNNNNNNNNNNNNNNNNNNNNNNNNNNNNNNNNNNNNNNNNNNNNNNNNNNNNNNNNNNNNNNNNNNNNNNNNNNNNNNNNNNNNNNNNNNNNNNNNNNNNNNNNNNNNNNNNNNNNNNNNNNNNNNNUUGGUGUAAGGGUUAGACCUGCAGGUGAGGAUCAGCGAGGGUUGAGAUGGAGGCGUAGUGGCGUAGGGUUUUUUGUUGGGUUUUGGGUGUGUCUUUGUAUAUUCUUUUAUAUACACGGGGAUAGGAAUUAUUAAACUCAUGUGAGCGUUUCCUUUCUUGUUCUCAAGUUAUGUAAACAAGAAAAUGUAAUAUUUAACUCAAUUUGGAGUUGUGUAAAUUUACAUUACGCAUUGAGUUUAUUUUCCUUGAUUUUUGUUGAAACAGGUUUUAGGAUAUUAAUAUUUUAGGAUAUAUCAUGCCAAAAUUUUUUGAAAUUUAUCUUUCAAAUAAAAUUGGGGCGUGACAUCUAGGAUUGCGACCUUCUCUAUCAAACAUAGCCAUUUCUCUUGUGAGAGCGUCGGGCAAAUAGUUCUUGUCAACAUCAUAUUCAUAUUAGGUUAAAAACAUUUGCCAUCUCAGAACUCUUCCCCUAUCAGCAGCAUCAGUUAAUUUGUAAUUUUUGAAGUUUUUGACUCUUUUGUUAUCAGUUCUAACUACAAAUUUAUUUCCUAAGAAUGCCUCAGCACCCUUAAUGCUCUUAAUUAGGGCAAGGACAUCCUUAUCUCCAAUAGAAUAGUUUAAUUCUGCUGCGUUAAACUUUCCUAAUAGAAAUUUACAAAUCUUUUCAUGAUUUGUGUUUGGAGCAACCGCUAAAACAACUCCUGCCCAAUAAUAAUCAUUUGCAUCAGUCUGCAAAAUGAUCAAAUCUCCUUCUUCAGGUAACUGUAGAGGAGGAAGGCUUCUUGUUAACUCCUUAAUCUUUCUGACAGUAUUACUGUCAUCAGCUGUGAAAUACCAUUUCUUCUUAGAAUUUGUUUUUGGAGAGAGGAGAGCAGUUAGACCACUAACUUGUGGAAUAAAAUCUCUGACGAAAUUAACAACUCCCAAAAAUCUCUGUAGAGACUUUGCUUCUGGGAUUAUGUGUGGAAAUUGGCUGAUUUUCUUAACAAUAUGAUCUUGGAGACGAAUCUCUCCAUCCUUAACAUGAAUGCCAAGGAAAUCAAUUUCACCUUUAAUAAGAUGAAUCUUCUUCUGUCCAAGAAUGAUUCCUUUUUGGACAAUAAGUUUACACACCUGUUCAAGAUGCUUUAGAUGCUCAUUCAUAGUUUUGGAGAAGACAAGAAUGUCAUCUAUGUAAACUAUGCAAAAUUCUGAGUAAAGCUUGAAGAUAUUAUCCAUUUUUCUUUGAAAAAUAGACGGGGCUUGCUUAAGACCAAAUGACAUAACUAACCAUUCAUAGUGCCCUUGAGGAGUUCCAAAAGCUGUUAAUGCUAUGGAAUCAGGAUGCAUUUUAACCUGCCAAAAGCCUGACUUUGCAUCAAACUUAGAGAAGAUUUUUGCUCCUUUAAGCCUGUUGAUGAGAACUCUCACCUGAGCUAUCUGAUAACCGUCUUUAACGGUCUUUUUAUUUACAUCCCUGUAAUCAAUCACCAUUCUAGCUUUUCCUCUUAAUUGUUCAGCAUGAUUUCUUACCAAGAAAGCUGGGGCAUGAUGAGGACUGUUUGAAGGCCGGAUUAACUUCUUUUCCAGAAGUUCUAGGAUUUGAUUCUCCAUUUCUUUUCUAUCUUCUUCUCUGUAAUGAGGGAUGGCCUUAACAUGGCAAAUAGUAUUUGCAUCAUGCAUUUUUAGCUGACAAUAUAUUGGGUCUCUUUCCCAAUACAAUUGAGGAUCUUCACUGAUUACUGGUUUCAACAAUUUCUCUAUUUCUGUGAGAGUUGGUAUUUUCUUUUGCUCUACCUUGUUAGCAUAUACCUUUAGAUUAUGCUCUCUGAUGUAUUCUUCUUCUCCAUCAGAACUCUCGUUGUCAGAAAUUUGAUAUUCAGAACUUUCCUCUGAUUCAGAGUCUUCUGAACUUGUUUCUUCAUUCACCAAUAUCUCCUUGUGACCUUUAAGCUGCUCUUGUAACAACAAGACUGGUUUUAAAAUUCGCAUAUAAUCACCACUCUUCGCUGGCGACCUCUGAUAUUGGUCUGUAAAUCUUUUACUAGUAACACGUACUGCGUCUGUUAAUCGGGAUUCCCAAUGGUAUUUUUCUGUUUUUCAAACCCAAGCAUUUUUGGCGUUUGAAUUACUGUUUGUUGAAGAAGAAAGUCAUUCCCUAUCAACAAAUCAGCUGUCUGACUUUCACACUGCCAAAGAAUCUUGAUGGUAAAAGUUCCUCCUCCCAAGGAAACGUGCACAUUUCGUGCCAUUGUAUCCAUAACUAUGUUGUUUUCUUCCAUUGCAACUCUAGUAACUGUCCUUGGAGAUUUUUCCCAAUAUUCUUCAGGGAUAGCAUAUCUUUUAGCAAGACUAAACCCUGAACCAGUAUCUACAAAUGCAUGUAGAUGAUAUUUUUUGUAGUUGGGAAACUUCAGUCCUAUAGUAAUAUAAUUACUAUAUAUGCUUGUCUGGACUGGCAUUAUUUUUGCUUGCUUUCUUGGAUCAUCAAGGAACUCUGUGAAAGGAUUGACCUUUCUUUCUGCAGUUUUUGAUUCUAGAGGAUUGUCAUUUGCUAGACCCAGUAUCGGAUUGGAACUAGAAUUGAGAGAAUCAAGAGAUUCCUUGAUUUCCCUGUUCUGACUUAAUGAAGUUACAAACUUCAUCGUUUUUAUAUCUUCUUCAAGGUUCUUUUCCUUUUCUUUUUUUAUGGAAGACAUUGUAUUCCUCUUCUACCAGGACAUGUGCUUCAUUAUCUUUGGUUUUUCUUCUGAGUUCUGCAAUAAAACACUCCCGAUGAUAAGUUUCACAUGUACCUUCACAGUACAUGGGAAUUGUAUUAUUAUCAUCACAUUUGCAAUAGUCAUAAAUGAAUCUUCCUGGAUUGGGAUGGAAGGUACUGAUAAUAUCAGUGUUUUCUUCCUUCCAAUUCUGUAUUUGUAAUAAAAAUAUAGGACGAUCUCCUAUAUCUUCUUCUUCAGAGUUUUCUGAAGUACUUUCUGUCUCACAAUCUGAUGAGUACUCAAGAGAAUAUAUUGAUUCAUUCUCUUCAUUAGAAUAUGCGACUUCAAAGCCUUUUAGAUUAGCAUACUCUAUUGUUUCAUCAUACUCAGCGAUUAAGGCUUUAGAAGAUCUCUUGUCCUUUUUAGGACAUUCAUUUGCAUAAUGUCCAUCUGCCUUGCAAAGCCAACAUCUGCAUUUCUUUGUUUCCUUAGAAGAAAAAUUCAUCUUCUUUUUCCUUUUGAAAAAUCUCUUUCUAGGAGAAGUUUGAGACGAUUGUUCUUUCUUAUAUCCAGGCCUUUUCCUGAACUUAUACUUCUUCUUAGAAGCAAAUUCUUUAUCAUGCUUGGUGCUAGAGAACUUCCUUCGGUGUUUUCUUUCUGUAGGAAUAUGACAUCCCCAUUGUGUUGGGGUAUCUAAAAUCUUUGGACACAUAUUCUCAACUCCUCUGAGUUGCUUCUUGGCCGUUUUGGAUUUUCUGUUCUCUGUGCAUUGCUUUCUUAGGAGAUCCCUAACUCUUUCUGCAAUUCCUCCUACAGUAAAAUACUGAAAAGGGUUUUCUUCUAAUGACUGUGCUACUGCAUCAUUCUAGGGUUCUGGCAAUUUUCUGUAAUAAGUUCUGAUGAGAUCAUUAUUUUCAAUGUCUCCAAUAGUGCAGUUGACACGACCCACCCCAAAUUUCACCCUGAAACCCGGAGUAAGUCGUGCGGGGACCACCUCCAAGGAAAAUUUACUGAAAAGAUUGAGAAAAUCUCCCUUGCAAAUGGACAACCCUAACUCGAAAAUUCCAAAUUUCACUCUUAAUUCAACACUUCCAAACAUCACAUAAUAUACAAUAAUCCUAAAGUAUUCAUAGCUACUAAACACAAACGGAAGCAAGAAAACACGAGUAGGUUGAACAGGUAACCUACUGAUGAAAACUGGCAGAAAUGCGGGUGACUAUGCCUCGCCUCCUACUAGAUCCAACCCGAACUCUGCAGACUGGGCAAUUUAAAACGAAAGGCCCAGGGGAAAACAUUUAAUAACGUUAGAGUGAGUGGACAAAAAUAAAAUAAAGGAAAUAAUUCUUUAUGCUUUCCCAAUUUUUACUUUUCCAUAGAAAAGAAAAUAUGCUGCAUGCGACAGCUCAAAACGCUCAACACGAAAACUGGAAUUUCAUGACUGGCACCGGCCAGUCUCCAACGCUCAAUAAAAUACAGCCUCUCAGGCUAAAAUAAAAUAUGUAUGUAUUACACUCGUCAUAUCCCUUGUAUGAAUUUUCUUGAAACAACUAAAACAAAUAGCAAAUUCACACAAGGCUACAACGUUGCGUCUAACGCUCACGUUGCACCAUAAUGGCAUUUUACCUCAUUAUGGUGGAAAAGACGGUGUAUAAAUAUACGCGCAUAUCCCCUAUAUAAAUUAUUAUAUUUAUAUAGGGCUACGACGAUUGCGUCUAACGCUCACGUCGCACCAUAAUGGAAUUUUACCUCAGUAUGGUGGAAAAGCACGUAUAGCUAGCUAGCAUUCUCUCAUAUACAUAUUAUUCUCAUAAUCAUCCAAAUAUGGAUAUAUAUACAUACUCACCGAAAUUCUCAAUUUCGGUUAUUCUUUAACCACAUAAAUUAUUUCGCAUGCACAUCAUUUAAAAUAAAAGUCCACUCACAAAUUAGGCCUAAGCCUGAUGUCGAUCUGGGGCCUCGUCAGCUCGAGCCUCCUCACGACCUGUUCCAAAUAUAAUAUUAAGUUCCCAGCCGAAAUUCCAAUAUUUAAUCAAAAUAGGCAAAAUUACCUGAGAGCCAUAAAUACGCUUAUCAUUGCCUAACUUCGAUAAUCUUAAAUUGGAACAAUCCGAACUUAAAUAUCAUACUCAACAGUCGUAAAUACAACCUCUCCAAAAUACGACUUAAAUCCUACGGCCGGAUUCUACAUUAAUUAACCGCCAAAAAUACUAACUUCGGAAAUUCAUAAACCUAUCCAAAACUCAUCCAAAAAUUCCAUAACUCACUUCAAUAAACUCCCCUUAAUAUUCAAAAUUUAACAACAUUAAAAUCUCCCAACCGGCGGCGGCCGGAGACCAGUUACGGCGACCUCCAAUUCCUAUGAAAUUUUAACAGCAUCUUCCUCUCAUCAUGCUCUACAACUUUCAUAACUAGCACAAACACCAAUUCCAAGCCUAACUAGGGCAAUCGACUAAAAACAUCAAAAACACCAUAAAACUUCCACCUCAAAUUUCUCCUUACCUAGCUCAAGAGGGAGUGAGUCCUUUUAGGGCAAGGUUGCUGGGUUGGAGGGCUACAAAACCAUACCAAGCUUGCCCGGAUUGGUGGCCGGAGGAGGGAGUUCCGGCGAAAUGCUUCCCGGCGUUUCUGGCGGGUUUUCUCCUCUUCCGGCGGGUUAGAGGCUCGGGGGCUAGGCCGGGGAGGGAGAGGAGG
rnacentral:lncRNA from 1 species